rnacentral:rRNA from 1 species
GGUUAAGCGACUAAGCGUACACGGUGGAUGCCCUGGCAGUCAGAGGCGAUGAAGGACGUGCUAAUCUGCGAAAAGCGUCGGUAAGGUGAUAUGAACCGUUACAGCCGGCGAUGUCCGAAUGGGGAAACCCAGUGCAAUUCGUUGCACUAUCGUUAACUGAAUACAUAGGUUAACGAGGCGAACCGGGGGAACUGAAACAUCUAAGUACCCCGAGGAAAAGAAAUCAACCGAGAUUCCCCCAGUAGCGGCGAGCGAACGGGGAG